CGGGACCGAGCAGCUGCCGAGUCGCCCUGCCGCCGCGCCCCGGAAAGUGCCGUCUGAGUCGACUCCGGACGCUCGCUCCGUCGCUCUCUCUCCGUCUCUCUCCGCUCUCUCCGCUCUCCCCGGACGAUGGAGAAGCAGCCCGCUGCGCCGACCGACCCGGAGAAGGUGGACCCCGCCGCCGGCGGACAGCAGCCCGAAUACCGACAGCGCGAGACCUGGGCUAACAAUGCCGAGUUCGUCCUCUCGGUGAUGGGCUUCUGCGUGGGGCUGGGAAACGUGUGGCGCUUCCCGUACCUCUGCUACAAAAACGGCGGCGGGGCGUUUCUGAUUCCGUACGCCAUCUGCCUGGUGACUGGCGGUGUGCCCAUGUUUUUCCUGGAAGUCGGCAUCGGCCAGUUCAUGGGAGAGGGCGGCAUCUCCGUCUGGAAACUCUGCCCGGCGUUCACAGGUAUCGGACUGGGAACUACGGUGAUCUCCUUCCUACUCAACAUCUACUACAUCGUCAUCCUGGCGUGGGGCCUGCUCUAUAUGUUCCACUCGUUCCAGUCGCCGCUGCCGUGGGCCACGUGCGACAACUGGUGGAACACCGAGCUGUGCUCCACCUUCGCUAACGGCACGGCCAACGGCUCGGCGGCGGCGGUAAAGACAGACCCCGUGGUGGAGUUCUGGGAACACAAUAUCCUGGGACUGAGCUCCGGGAUAGACGACGUGGGCGUUCCCCAGUGGCGCCUCGUUCUGACGCUGCUGCUCGCCUGGAUCAUGGUGUACUUCAUCGUGUGGAAAGGCAUCAAGUCCUCCGGCAAGGUCGUCUACUUCACCGCCACCUUUCCGUACAUCAUGCUGUUCGUGCUGCUGGUGCGGGGCGCCACCCUGCCCGGCGCCAAGCUGGGCAUCCUGUUCUACCUGACCCCCGACUUCGGAAAACUGCUGGAGGCGCAGGUCUGGAUAGACGCCGGGACGCAGAUUUUCUUCAGCUACGCCAUCGCCCUGGGCUCGAUGACGGCACUGGGGUCGUACAACAAGUACAACCACAACUUCAUACGCGACUGCACGCUGCUCUCCGUGGUCAACAGCUGCACGAGCCUCUUCGCAGGGUUCGUGGUGUUCAGCGUCCUCGGUUUCAUGGCCACCGAACAGGGCGUCACCGUAGACGUCGUGGCAAAGUCAGGACCGGGCCUGGCGUUCAUCGCCUACCCGAAGGCGGUGUCGCUGAUGCCGCUGGCGCCGCUCUGGUCCAUCCUGUUCUUCGUGAUGCUGCUCACACUGGGCCUGGACUCGCAGUUCGUGGCCGUCGAGGGCUUCGUCACCGCCAUCGUCGACCUCUACCCGCAGUACCUCAGGGUCGGCCGGCGCCGGGAGAUAUUCAUUCUGGUGACGUCACUGGUCGGGUUUCUGCUCGGCCUGUUUCACGUAACCAAUGGCGGUGUGUACGUGUUCACACUGUUCGACUACUACUCGGCCUCGGGCAUGGUGCUGCUGUGGUUCUGCUUCUUCGAGUGCGUGGCCGUCGCCUGGGUGUACGGCGGCGAGCGGUUCUACGACAACAUACAGGGCAUGGUGGGCUCCCGGCCCGGACCCUGGCUGAGGAUCUGCUGGACCGUGCUGACACCGUUGCUCACAGCGGGUAUAUUCGUGUUCUCGCUGGUGACGCACACCCCGCUGAAGUACGACGGGUACGUGUACCCGCGGUACGCCGACGCCGUCGGCUGGAUGCUGGCUCUGCUCUCCAUGGUUACCAUACCGGGCUACCUGGUCAUCAGACUGGUACUGACACCUGGCGGCAGCCUCCUACAGCGCUGGAGGAUGGCCACCGCUCCCGUACUGGAGCCGCAUCAGCUGAGACCGCGCGACCUGCCCCAGGUGCCCAUGUACCAGCUGAGGCACUGAGAGCGCCGACCGGCCCCAGGUGCCCAUGUACCAGCUGAGGCACUGAGCCCGCGCGACCGGCCCCAGGUGCCCAUGUACCAGCUGAGGCACUGAGACCGGCCCCAGGUGCCCAUGUACCAGCUGAGGCACUGAGACCGCCGAACGGAAACCACGGCGGAGUUCAGAGGACGCCUGGGACUUCUCGUGGCGACUCGGCAGGACAGGGCGGAUUGGUGGUCUCAAUGCGGCAAAUGGGACGACCGACGGGACGUGGUGGCUCUAUGGGAG
rnacentral:misc_RNA from 1 species